AGGAAGCAAGCCUAUUAGCCAUCCUGGUCACUUACCACCACCUUGGGGAGGGACAAACAACAUCAAAGGAAACUUAAAACCCUGUCUCCUCCCACUGCCCCAUACCUCCCCCAUGAUGUAAACACCACAAGGGGAGAGAUAUGAUCCUACUUACUCGGCAUCUGACUCACAGACACUUUGUUGAAGACCAUACACUUCUCAGGCACUGAGAAUUCUGGGGGCCAACUCACAGUUAUAAGAGCUGAGUGAGUGCUACGCUGAGAGGAACCUACAUCUUUUGUUGGAGAUUGAGUUCCACUCGACAUAAGCCACUCUUUGUAAUUACACUCCAUUGCCGUUUCAUGGUUUAGCCAAGGACAGGUGUCACAAUUUUAACCAAUAGGAUUAAGGAGAAACUUGUUUUAAGGCUUCUGAGGAAAAAAAGAAAUCCCUGACUUUUAAAUAGGGAUAUCAAUUAAGGACCACCUUCUCUUCCAUUACUGCACAACGUGUGAGAAUGUGUUAUUUGGAACAAAUGCAGCUAUGUCAACACCAUGGGUGACAAGCCUGAAGACAAGAGUCAACAUGCUGAGGAUGGCAACAUAAAAAGAUGUGACAAUCCAAGGUCUGAUCCAACUGAAUGAGUAAAUUAAGCACCCUGUAACAGCCCAUUUCAGAGUUCUUCUAAAGUGAAUUAUAAAAAUCCCCU